rnacentral:lncRNA from 1 species
CUCCAACUUCCUGCUUAAAUAAAUGUAUAACAAGCUUGGUGCUGCUCUCCUGCCCCUUGUCUGAAGUCGUGUCUGACCCAGGACUGUGCUGGAGCCAGUUCAAUCGGAUCAGCCACUUCCAAAACUACGCUGCUGUCCUGGGACUUGCACCAUUUGCAUUCAGGGUGGUCCCCAGAGCUCAUCCUUCUCCUCUGCCUGCUCCCCAUGCCAGCCCCAUUCCUGAUGCUGCCUUGGGCUCCCUCCCCAAGCUGCUGGUCAUCUGGCAGUACAAUGCCUCGCUGAACUCCAGUGGAGCCACACAGGCAUUUCUUUCUUGCUUUUCCUCUUCCGGCACCUCAGGAUUGUUCAGCACAAGAUGUUGCUUAAGCAACAAAGUGAAGAGCGCAGAAUAUAAGAACUAACAGCAUGUUGGCUGGCAGUCCCAAGGACAACUCACCUCAGCGCACUCUGUAUGUUGAAGAUGCCACUUGGCUGGCAAAGGAAGAAGUGCCCAAUGUGCCUGAAAGCAACCAGUUGCUCACUCC